GACGAACGCUGGCGGCGUGCUUAACACAUGCAAGUCGAACGAAGUGGCGAACGGGUGAGUAACGCGUAAUCAACCUGCCCUUCCGAGGGGUAUAACAGUUGGCAACGACUGCUAAUACCGCAUACUCAAGGUGGGGAUUGCGUCUGAUUAGCUAGUUGGAGGGGUAACGGCCCACCAAGGCGAUGUUAAGUAGCCGGUCUGAGAGGGUGAACGGCCAAAUUGGGACUGAGACACGGCCCAGACUCCUACGGGAGGCAGGAGUGGGGAAUCUUCCGAAAUGGACGAAAGUCUGACGGAGCAACGCCGCGUGAGGGAUGACGGCUUUCGGGUUGUAAAGCUCUGUUAAUCGGGACGCGGUACCGAAAUAGAAAGCCACGGCUAACUACGUGCCAGCAGCCGCGGUAAUAC
rnacentral:rRNA from 1 species